CAGUACCAUGCUAAAUAAUAGGAGUCACUAAGAACAAAGGAGGCAGCCUGAACAAUCAAAAAGGUUUGAGAGACAACCAAGAGCUCAGGCUGGGCUGGUCAAUAAGGUUCAUGUCCUACAUGAGACUACUCUGUCAAG